rnacentral:lncRNA from 1 species
UCCAUCCCUCUUUAGAAUAAGAAGAGCCUUUAGUUGGGCACAGCUGGAGUGAGUGGUGAGUAGGGGGAGGUUCCUGCCCCAGGCCGCUUUGUUCUACAGAUCUUCACAGAAAGCUCUGGGCUGACUGAGACCUGGGGCCAGAGAGAGAUGUGAGAAAGGUGAGCUUCUGAGGAGCCUGGGGAUGCAGGCACCAAGGCUAUUGUCUUUCUCCAGAGGAUCCCCAGAGGGGCCUUAAAUGCGAAGACUUGGAGCUCCUGGCCUCCCAAGGCUCAGAGACACAAGCUCUGAGAGAGCCUGCUGAGGAUUGUUGUGCCCAGAUUGUGAAGUCCCAAAGACCACCAGGAGGCCAUUUCCGAUGGAUCAAACUCGGGACCUUGCACUUGCAAGGCAGGUGGCGGCACCACUGAACUAAAUCCCUGGCCUCUGAAUUGUACAUUUUAAAUGAACUAAUAUGGCAGGUGAAUUAUAUAUUCUGCCUAAUAUCUCAAUAAAGCUGC